GCUGGGUGCAGUGGCGCGUGCCUGUAGUCCCAGCUACUUGAGAGGCUGAGGUGGGAGGAUCGCUUGAGCCCAAGAGUUCUGGGAUAUCGUGCGUUAUGUCAAUCGGGUGUCUGCACUAAGUUUGGCAUCAAUAUGGUGACCUCCUGAGAGUGGGGGACCACCAGGUUGCCUAAGGAGGGGUGAACCGGCCCAGGUCAGAAACAGAGCAAGUCAAAACUUCGUGCUGAUCAGCAGUGGGAUUGUGCCUGUGAAUAGCCACUGCACUCCAGCCCGGGCAACAUAGCGAGACACCGUCUUU
ensembl:misc_RNA Metazoa_SRP Metazoan signal recognition particle RNA